GACGAACGCUGGCGGCGUGCCUAAUACAUGCAAGUCGAACGCAGUGGGGACGGGUGAGUAACACGUGGGUAACCUCCCAUCAGAGGGGAUAAACCUUGGAAACAAGUGCUAAACCGAUAGUGAUGGAUGGACCCGCGGUGAAUUAGCUGGUUGGUGAGGUAACGGCCGACCAAGGCCACGAUGCAUAGCCGACCUGAGAGGGUGAUCGGCCACACUGGGACUGAGACACGGCCCAGACUCCUACGGGAGGCAGCAGUGGGGAAUCUUCGGCAAUGGACGAAAGCCUGACCGAGCAACGCCGCGUGAGUGAAGAAGGUCUUCGGAUCGUAAAACUCUGUUGUUAGAGAAGCGUUAUCUAACCAGAAAGCCACGGCUAACUACGUGCCAGCAGCCGCGGUAAUUC
rnacentral:rRNA from 1 species